GACGAAGGGUCCUAGCGUUGUUCGGAAUCACUGGGCGUAAAGCGCAUGUAGGUGGCUCAAUAAGUCAGAUGUGAAAGCCCCGGGCUCAACCUGGGAAUGGCGAUGGAUACUGGCGAGCUAGAGUACGGUAGAGGAGAGUGGAAUUCCCGGUGUAGCAGUGAAAUGCGUAGAGAUCGGGAGGAACAUCAGUUGCGAAGGCGGCUCUCUGGACCAGUACGUGACGCUGAGGCACGAAAGCGUGGGGAGCAAACAGG
rnacentral:rRNA from 1 species